UACGUAGGUGGCGAGCGUUGUCCGGAUUUACUGGGCGUAAAGGGCUUGUAGGCGGUCCGCUAAGUCUGGUGUGAAAUCUCCCGGCUCAACUGGGAGGGGUCAUCGGAUACUGGCGGACUUGAGGGGGGUAGAGGAAAGCAGAAUUCCUGGUGUAGCGGUGAAAUGCGUAGAUAUCAGGAGGAAUACCAGUGGCGAAGGCGGCUUUCUGGGCCUACCCUGACGCUGAGGAGCGAAAGCGUGGGUAGCAAACAGG
rnacentral:rRNA from 1 species